CCCUCUUUGAGGGUGCCUACCACAACUCGAGAUAUAGAGACUUGAAAAUCAUCAGCAUUUAAAUGAUAUUGGAAGUCUUGGUAAUGGAAGAGAUUGCUUGAGAGAUGUGUGCAGAAGGACAAGAGGAGGAUUUAAGGACCGCGUCCUGAGAGACACUGGCCUUUAAGGAUAAGCAGAGAAAGAGAAGCCAGCAAAGAGACUGAUGAAAAGCAUGACCGUAUGUCCUGGUUUGCCAGUGGUUAGUUCUGCUUUAUGCCUGUUGUGUCCACAGGACAGUUUACUCUGCCCCUUUCACUUUCUCAAGGGCCCUGGAUUAGAUGAAACACAUGGUCACCCUAUGAUCACAGGCAGCCAGAGCAGCAGAGGAAAACCAGGAGGAGCCAAUAUUGUGACGGACGUUGGAUUUCACGACAAGGAGGUCCCUGGAGACUUCAGCAGCAGAUGUUUGAGUUGUGAGCAUGCAACCCGGGUUUCAGAGGGUGAAGUGAGUGAGAAGCAAAGCAGAGAAGCAUCUUCAUGGGAUUUAUGAAGACAAACAGACAUCCCAGCCAUGAAUUUUCUCCUCCACUUCCUUAUAUUGGACAUAACUUUAACACAAAAGAAACAAGUUUUGGUUCUGCUGUACCCUUGCUAUGACCGCCACCUAGAAUAUUAUUUUGGACCCAUCCACUCAGCCCAAAGGUUUGUAUAUGUUCACCUACCCCUUCAGACUGUGUGCUUCUGAAGGAUGGGGACCA
rnacentral:lncRNA from 1 species